AGCCUGAUGCAGCGACGCCGCGUGAGGGACGAAGGCCUUCGGGUUGUAAACCUCUUUCAGCAGGGAAGAAGCGAAAGUGACGGUACCUGCAGAAGAAGCGCCGGCUAACUACGUGCCAGCAGCCGCGGUAAUACGUAGGGCGCAAGCGUUAUCCGGAAUUAUUGGGCGUAAAGAGCUCGUAGGCGGUUUGUCGCGUCUGCUGUGAAAGCCCGGGGCUCAACCCCGGGUCUGCAGUGGGUACGGGCAGACUAGAGUGCAGUAGGGGAGACUGGAAUUCCUGGUGUAGCGGUGAAAUGCGCAGAUAUCAGGAGGAACACCGAUGGCGAAGGCAGGUCUCUGGGCUGUAACUGACGCUGAGGAGCGAAAGCAUGGGGAGCGAACAGGAUUAGAUACCCUGGUAGUCCAUGCCGUAAACGUUGGGCACUAGGUGUGGGGGACAUUCCACGUUUUCCGCGCCGUAGCUAACGCAUUAAGUGCCCCGCCUGGG
rnacentral:rRNA from 1 species